GACGAACGCUGGCGGCGUGCUUAACACAUGCAAGUCGAACGAAGCUUGAUUACGGAUUCUUCGGAUGAAGUAUGAUAUGACUGAGUGGCGGACGGGUGAGUAACGCGUGAGUAACCUGCCCUUCAGAGGGGGAUAGCGUUUGGAAACGAACGGUAAUACCGCAUAAUGUAUUUUGACCGCAUGAUCGAAAUACCAAAGAUUUAUCGCUGAAGGAUGGACUCGCGUCUGAUUAGGUAGUUGGUGGGGUAACGGCCUACCAAGCCGACGAUCAGUAGCCGGACUGAGAGGUUGAUCGGCCACAUUGGGACUGAGACACGGCCCAGACUCCUACGGGAGGCAGCAGUGGGGAAUAUUGCACAAUGGGCGCAAGCCUGAUGCAGCAACGCCGCGUGAAGGAAGACGGUUUUCGGAUUGUAAACUUCUGUUCUUAGUGAAGAAUAAUGACGGUAGCUAAGGAGCAAGCCACGGCUAACUACGUGCCAGCAGCCGCGGUAAUACGUAGGUGGCAAGCGUUGUCCGGAAUUACUGGGUGUAAAGGGAGCGCAGGCGGGUGAUCAAGUCAGCUGUGAAAACUACGGGCUUAACCCGUAGACUGCAGCUGAAACUGUUCAUCUUGAGUGAAGUAGAGGUUGGCGGAAUUCCGAGUGUAGCGGUGAAAUGCGUAGAUAUUCGGAGGAACACCGGUGGCGAAGGCGGCCAACUGGGCUUUAACUGACGCUGAGGCUCGAAAGUGUGUGGAGCAAACAGGAUUAGAUACCCUGGUAGUCCACACUGUAAACG
rnacentral:rRNA from 1 species